UUGACAAGCACAAAAUGGAUAAGGAUGGUCGGGAAGAAUAACAAGAAAAAGGGAGAAAGGCUGAACUUUGAGGAGACAAAACGGGAAAGAGAGAGAGAGAGCUGGUGAGAAAGAAAAAUUUAUUUUCUCAUGUUGCUGCCGACAGCCACUUACGGAGAAAAAAAAAAAGGGAAAGGAGCUGAUUUUGAGAGAGGAAAGGGGGCUGAUUUGCUGCCGAUUUAAGGAGGAAAAAGGAGGCUGUGUGCUGUCGAUUUUUGAGAGGAAAAAGGGGCUUUGUGCUACUGGAUUUUGAGGAAGGAAAAGAGAGGAAGCUGGGUUUUUGGGGUGCUGUCGACCAUGAGAGAGAAAGGACGAAACUGUGGCUGGCGUUGAGAGUGAAGGAGGUAUGAUGGUGGCUGCAAAUAUGGUAAAAAAAAAAAAGAGCAGAAGAGAGAGAGAAAGAAACGGGAAAAGAAAGAAAGAAAAAAAGUGACAAAGAUCAGCCUAGCAUGUAAUCAUCAGCACGUUCGGUUCACCACAAAUAGGUAAAGGUAUCUCAUAGCAUUUUAUCCUGAGUCGCUCCGCUGUUAGAAGUUGAGUUAUAGUACUUUGGUUUUACUAUGUAAACGAAUAUUAGUUUGGAUAUAAACGAAAAUUUGAGA